AUGGGAGACAAAAUGAAGCAGGCUUUGGAGCAGAAGGACCUCGAUCUUGCGGCAGUGCAGAAGAUGGCGCGUGAGAAAAUUGAACUUGCUGACAAGAAGCUGGCUUCAGUCGGAAAGUUGGAAGAGGAGAACGCCAAGCUAAAAACUGAUGUUGACGAGGCGAAUAAAGAGGUUGUGCAACUGAAGGAGGAGAAGGUGGCUUCGGCUGACAAAGUGGAUGUUCUCACUCGGAAGAGGGGCGAACUAGAAACUUAUCUGGGUGGUCUUGCCAAGAAGAUGUUUCUCAUGCUUGAAGAAUUCUGUCAGAAUUUUGAGGAGGAAACUGGGCGGAUCGAGACGGGACUGGAUCCCAUCAACUCCCCUAUCCAAGAUGAAGCUGCUAUGAACGUGCUGCGAUUGGAAUCUCGCCUCGCCAGCGUCUUGGACUAUCUCGCCCGACUGAAAGUGGCACUGUCACAGAUCGACAAGGAAGUGUGGCCAGAGGAUGUGUUUCAGAAUGAUCUCAAGUCACUGAUGACUCGACUCAAUGACAUCCCUGCCCGAGUGCAAGCAUGGAAGAAGUCGUAUGCCCGCUGUGGCGCUGAUGUGGCACUAUCUCUUGUUCGCGUUCACUAUAAGGACGCCAAGGAGGAAAAGUUGAAGGCUCUUCGGGUGGCAAACACCAAGAAACUUCAAUUUCAGUCUUUCAUGGAGACCUUCAUUGAUGCAGCCACUCGCAUUGCAGAUGGUAUUGACUUGGACACCUUUGUCGAGCCAGCAAGUCCUCCUCCCACCAAGUAA
rnacentral:rRNA from 1 species